UAUCGAAGUGGCGCAGGCACAGGCAGGGACUUAUUUUGAAUUUUCUUUUUUUUUCGAAGAAAAUUGGUAUAAUAAUAAUAAUACUAGUAAUUUUAUUUCCAACCUUAUCCAAUCCAUCCCACGCUGAAGUCUGAAAGCCUAAAACCCUUUUACUGGGGGAUAGGGUUUAACGUAUACCUAAUUGAAUCAGCCAUGGAGAAGCAGCAAAUGCAGCCGCCGGGGGAAGGCGGUGAGAAUAAUGCGAGGGCGAGGAAGAAGAAGGUGAAGAAAAUGCCGAGCCCUCAGGAGCUGGUGACGCACUACGAGAAGCAGGGGAUGGCGACUCAGGAGGCUUCGCUUAAAGUGAUUGGGGAUUUGCAGGGAACCCUCUUCAGAAUGAUUAC
rnacentral:lncRNA from 1 species